UACGGAGGGUGCUAGCGUUGUUCGGAAUUACUGGGCGUAAAGCGCACGUAGGCGGGUUCGUAAGUCGAUUGUGAAAGCCCCGGGCUCAAUCCGGGAAUUGCAGUCGAAACUACGAGUCUUGAAUACCUGAGAGGGUGACGGAAUUCCUGGUGUAGAAGUGAAAUUCGUAGAUAUCAGGAAGGAACACCGGAGGCGAAGGCGGUUGCCUGGCGAGUGUAUUGACGCUGAGGUGCGAAAGCGUGGGGAGCAAACAGG
rnacentral:rRNA from 1 species